GAUGAACGCUGGCGGCGUGCCUAAUACAUGCAAGUCGAGCGAACAGACGAGGGGCUUGCUCCUCUGACGUUAGCGGCGGACGGGUGAGUAACACGUGGAUAACCUACCUAUAAGACUGGGAUAACUUCGGGAAACCGGAGCUAAUACCGGAUAAUAUAUUGAACCGCAUGGUUCAAUAGUGAAAGACGGUUUUGCUGUCACUUAUAGAUGGAUCCGCGCCGCAUUAGCUAGUUGGUAAGGUAACGGCUUACCAAGGCAACGAUGCGUAGCCGACCUGAGAGGGGGAUCGGCCACACUGGAACUGAGACACGGUCCAGACUCCUACGGGAGGCAGCAGUAGGGAAUCUUCCGCAAUGGGCGAAAGCCUGACGGAGCAACGCCGCGUGAGUGAUGAAGGUCUUCGGAUCGUAAAACUCUGUUAUUAGGGAAGAACAAAUGUGUAAGUAACUAUGCACGUCUUGACGGUACCUAAUCAGAAAGCCACGGCUAACUACGUG
rnacentral:rRNA from 1 species